UGAGACAGGUGAGAGACAGGUGAGAGACAGGUGAGGGACAGGUGAGAGACAGGUGAGGGACAGGUGAGGGACAGGUGAGGGACAGGUGAGAGACAGGUGAGGGACAGGUGAGAGACAGGUGAGAGACAGGUGAGAGACAGGUGAGGGACAGGUGAGAGACAGGUGAGGGACAGGUGAGAGACAGGUGAGGGACAGGUGAGAGACAGGUGAGAGACAGGUGAGGGACAGGUGAGGGACAGGUGAGAGACAGGUGAGGGACAGGUGAGAGACAGGGGAGAGACAGGUGAGGGACAGGUGAGAGACAGGGGAGAGACAGGUGAGAGACAGGUGAGAGACAGGUGAGAGACAGGUGAGGGACAGGUGAGAGACAGGUGAGGGACAGGUGAGGGACAGGUGAGAGACAGGUGAGAGACAGGGGAGAGACAGGUGAGGGACAGGUGAGAGACAGGUGAGGGACAGGUGAGGGACAGGUGAGGGACAGGUGAGGGACAGGUGAGGGACAGGUGAGGGACAGGUGAGGGACAGGUGAGGGACAGGUGAGAGACAGGUGAGAGACAGGUGAGAGACAGGGGAGAGACAGGUGAGGGACAGGUGAGGGACAGGGGAGAGACAGGUGAGGGACAGGUGAGAGACAGGGGAGAGACAGGUGAGAGACAGGUGAGAGACAGGUGAGGGACAGGUGAGAGACAGGUGAGAGACAGGUGAGGGACAGGUGAGGGACAGGUGAGAGACAGGUGAGGGACAGGUGAGAGACAGGGGAGGGACAGGUGAGAGACAGGUGAGAGACAGGUGAGAGACAGGUGAGAGACAGGUGAGAGACAGGUGAGAGACAGGUGAGAGACAGGUGAGAGACAGGUGAGAGACAGGUGAGAGACAGGUGAGGGACAGGGGAGAGACAGGUGAGGGACAGGUGAGGGACAGGUGAGAGACAGGUGAGAGACAGGUGAGAGACAGGUGAGAGACAGGUGAGAGACAGGUGAGAGACAGGUGAGAGACAGGUGAGAGACAGGUGAGAGACAGGUGAGGGACAGGUGAGAGACAGGUGAGAGACAGGUGAGGGACAGGUGAGGGACAGGUGAGGGACAGGUGAGAGACAGGUGAGGGACAGGUGAGA